GGGAUUGCAGUGGCAAAGCUAGGCUAGGUCUUGGAGACUAGUGUAAGACGAAGCGGGUGAAGGCAGGAAGCUGAUGGAGACACUGGGGGGAAGAAAAGCCGAAAUGGAUUCACGGUGCCUUGGAUGGAGGACGAGAGGGGAAUUGCAAGCUCCUUCAACUCGCUCUGUCCGGUGAGAAGUGAUCAAGCUUGGGCUGACAUGAGGCUCAGGGAGCCCUCACGUUCUUUCGCUUUUUUACCUGCCAAUCAAACUGCUACAAGACAACACCCUGAUCUGGCAUGGACAUCGCGGGUCCAAGCCUGUAGCCCCAAAUCGGAUAAUCUCUGCAGCUGAUAACAAGCAAAAGAGAAGCCAGGCAACAGCCAUAUUAAAGAAGAAAACAGUCAACUCAGAGGUAGAUAUUUUACUUUGUCCGGUCUAAUCACAUUUGGAGAUGAUUAUGCUUUUGAUCUGUUAAUCGUGUUUUACUACAGUAGUAGAGAAGUCGUGGGAGGGGGGAAGGGGUGGAGAAACAAGAUUGGAUUUGCUGUUUUCUUUUGCCCUAGGAAAGGUAAAGAAAGACUAUAGUUGUCCUCAGUGGGAGCGGGAAAGUUGGGGAAUCGCCAGGGUCUUUGAAUUAGCGAUGGUUCUGCAUCACAACUGACCGGCGCUUUGGCGCAGCCGGAGAAUCUGUAAGACCGACUCCGGGACUUUUCUUCCUUAUUUACUACUUACCUCGCUCAUCUUCCCCCACCGAAGGGGACCAGGAACCAAGGGUCAGGCAUGCUUAACGGCGUGGGUUUGCUUCCCACAAUUUCAAGGGCUUGUUGUGUCAACUUGCUACAACUUUGGAGAAGUUGGAAUCCGGCAGCGCCUUCCGCCCUUCAGUAAAGUACCAGCUGCAGCCACUAAGUUAGCUCAUCCCGUUGGUUUGCAUCUUCUCGUUGUCCAAGAAAGUAUUUCUUUCUCGUGGUGUGGCUAAUGUUAGUUCUGGGCUCAGCUGGGGAUAGCCUUAUAUUUUUCUGUAUUUUUAUUUCACGUGGAUUGCUUUAUUUUAGGUGUGUAUUAGUUUUUAUUUAUUCCUUUUUUAUCCUCAUUUUUAGGGUAAUAUUGUACUGGGAAAGGACAUUUAUUAUGCCAGUUCCCAAUUCUAAGCGAGGCAUUUCCCCCCUUAAUUAAUGCAGAGACUCUAAAAGAAUUUCCCCCGGCCUGGCCAGCCAUUGUAAUGCAUAUACGGAUUAUUCACGUGGUAAUGAGCACAUUCGCCAGUUCUUGCUCACACAUACGAAUAAAAGAAACUUUGAAUAAAGAUCCA
rnacentral:lncRNA from 1 species